CAUAACGCAGGUGAACUGGAUUGUAGUGUCUCUGAAUUGGCCUUAUUCCUUUUUGUUCUAAACACCAACAGGGCGACGGGACUGAAUGCGGGAAUCUGCAUUCAGUCCCGUCGCCCUGAGGCCGCGUGAGGAGCACUAAGGGGCCGUUGUCCGCUUACAGCAUAGCGAUGCCCCAGUGUUUCCCCGCCCUCUCCCCGGCAGCCUGGAAGCCAGACAGGCCGAUGAGGGCGACGGUGGGCGUGAUGGUCAGGGGGCCGAUGUACUUCAGCAGCACCCCGG